rnacentral:rRNA from 1 species
AGUAGUUUGAUCAUGGCUCAGGACAACGCUGGCGGUGUGCUUCACACAUGCAAGUCGAACGGAGUAGCAAUACUCAGUGGCGGACGGGUGAGUAACACGUGGGAAUCUACCAUUAGAUGGGGAAUAACAGGCCGAAAGGACUGCUAAUGCCGCAUAUGUAUGUGCCUCGACAGGGGCGUAUAUGAAAGGAGUAAUCCGUCUGAUGAUGAGCCCGCGUCCGAUUAGCUAGUUGGUAAGGUAAAAGCUUACCAAGGCGACGAUCGGUAGGUGGUCUGAGAGGAUGAUCACCCACAAUGGGACUGAGACACGGCCCAUACUCCUACGGGAGGCAGCAGUGGGGAAUUUUACGCAAUGGGGGAAACCCUGACGUAGCGACACCGCGUGAGCGAAGAAGCCCUUUGGGGUGUAAAGCUCUGUCAACAGGAACGAAAAAAUGACGGUACCUGUGGAGGAAGCAUCGGCUAACUACGUG